GAUGAACGCUGGCGGCGUGCCUAAUACAUGCAAGUCGAGCGAACGGACGAGAAGCUUGCUUCUCUGAUGUUAGCGGCGGACGGGUGAGUAACACGUGGAUAACCUACCUAUAAGACUGGGAUAACUUCGGGAAACCGGAGCUAAUACCGGAUAAUAUUUUGAACCGCAUGGUUCAAAAGUGAAAGACGGUCUUGCUGUCACUUAUAGAUGGAUCCGCGCUGCAUUAGCUAGUUGGUAAGGUAACGGCUUACCAAGGCAACGAUGCAUAGCCGACCUGAGAGGGUGAUCGGCCACACUGGAACUGAGACACGGUCCAGACUCCUACGGGAGGCAGCAGUAGGGAAUCUUCCGCAAUGGGCGAAAGCCUGACGGAGCAACGCCGCGUGGGUGAUGAAGGUCUUCGGAUCGUAAAACUCUGUUAUUAGGGAAGAACAUAUGUGUAAGUAACUGUGCACAUCUUGACGGUACCUAAUCAGAAAGCCACGGCUAACUACGUGCCAGCAGCCGCGGUAAUACGUAGGUGGCAAGCGUUAUCCGGAAUUAUUGGGCGUAAAGCGCGCGUAGGCGGUUUUUUAAGUCUGAUGUGAAAGCCCACGGCUCAACCGUGGAGGGUCAUUGGAAACUGGAAAACUUGAGUGCAGAAGAGGAAAGUGGAAUUCCAUGUGUAGCGGUGAAAUGCGCAGAGAUAUGGAGGAACACCAGUGGCGAAGGCGACUUUCUGGUCUGUAACUGACGCUGAUGUGCGAAAGCGUGGGGAUCAAACAGGGUUAGAUACCCUGGUAGUCCACGCCGUAAACGAUGAGUGCUAAGUGUUAGGGGGUUUCCGCCCCUUAGUGCUGCAGCUAACGCAUUAAGCACUCCGCCUGGGGAGUACGACCGCAAGGUUGAAACUCAAAGGAAUUGACGGGGACCCGCACAAGCGGUGGAGCAUGUGGUUUAAUUCGAAGCAACGCGAAGAACCUUACCAAAUCUUGACAUCCUUUGACAACUCUAGAGAUAGAGCCUUCCCCUUCGGGGGACAAAGUGACAGGUGGUGCAUGGUUGUCGUCAGCUCGUGUCGUGAGAUGUUGGGUUAAGUCCCGCAACGAGCGCAACCCUUAAGCUUAGUUGCCAUCAUUAAGUUGGGCACUCUAAGUUGACUGCCGGUGACAAACCGGAGGAAGGUGGGGAUGACGUCAAAUCAUCAUGCCCCUUAUGAUUUGGGCUACACACGUGCUACAAUGGACAAUACAAAGGGCAGCGAAACCGCGAGGUCAAGCAAAUCCCAUAAAGUUGUUCUCAGUUCGGAUUGUAGUCUGCAACUCGACUACAUGAAGCUGGAAUCGCUAGUAAUCGUAGAUCAGCAUGCUACGGUGAAUACGUUCCCGGGUCU
rnacentral:rRNA from 1 species